rnacentral:lncRNA from 1 species
GGCUAAUUUUCAGUUGGAGCAAAGAUAUAAACUAAGUAAAUAAAUAAAAGCCUUAGCAAAAUUUUGUUCUUUACAUCUAGAAGGUGCUUGGGGAAAAAAAAAAAAAAAAAAGUGAUCCACAGGAAAGAAGAAGGCUCAAGGAACAAGAGCAAGAACACCUAAGUUUAACACGAUGAAAUAAAACAAGGCUCAGGGAAGAAGCUAUAACCAGCAAAACUCUCAGAGGAGUUCCUCAGAGGAGGUACCCAGGUCUCACUGUUUCAGACAGUAAGAUGACAGGGCGUCAGCAGGAGCACCAGUCUUAGUUCUAGUUCCAUGCUGUCAGCAGUGAUUAAAGCAUAUGAUCCCCCUUCCCACACGGAUUUAUCAAGACCACCAAGCUACUGCAUGGAUAGCACUACAAAUACUUCAUCAGCCAUGAGCCGGCAAAAUGAGAUUCUGCAUUGAAGCCAAACCUUAACAACUGAGACUUAAGAAUAAUUCAAAUUUAGAACAACUUCAAAUCAUAUUUUCAGUGCCUUCUCCUCACCCAGUUCAGUUGCAUUUCUGAAACCCAGGUCACUCAUACAUUAUCACUCCAAAACAAGCCACCUCCCACCCAUGCAACCUUUUAAGAAGACUUUGCCCUUAUACAAGCUACCUCCAAUAAGCCUUUUAGAUUCCAAGAAAUUCUAAAACAUCAGUGAAUGCUGUCCCAAAACUUCAGUAGCAUGUUACGGAUGUGGUUUGGUCAGCAAGUGAGGGGCAAGGACAAGGCAACAGCAUCCAUAUCCAGUAAUCCCUUGGCAAAGGUGCUCCCCUGCCCCUGCAUUGUCUGCCAGAUUUGAUCCAUCCAACUUCUGAAAAUAAGUUAAAGCACAAAGCAUAAGGAUAACAAGGGUGCUGUGCAGACCAGGCAAGAACUGCAGGAGCUUGAAAGGUCAGGCAACUUUCUUGGAGCACCAAGGGUGCAACCACGGCUCUGAGGUAAGCUCCAGGUGGUGGGAAGGGAAAUGUGCAGCAAGCGUGUCUCACCUUCCGUUCCUCCAUGACAGGCCAUAAAAGUCACAAGACACCAAUGAGCAAAGCAGAGAGAAAAACAAGGUGUCCAGAGUUCAAAUGCAGCCCUGAGACACUAGGGCCUCUGAAGUCCACAGUCCAGUGACCAGCGCAAGACCUGACUCCCAUGAGGGAGGCACAGCAGCGAUGUAGAAAAGUGCUACGGCUGCCGGGGCCGGGCCCACAUUUCUAUCUCUACCUGUGAAGGACAGGAACAUCAAGAAAAGGCUGCUAGGGGCCUCCCAAGGAUACAAGCUCCUUUCUCCUCCUCCCUGUGGACACCGGAGCGGAUGUCCCCGCACCUGGCUCCGCGGGGCUUCCCCGAACAGCAAUUCCCCACACGCUCACCCACACCUACGCGCAUCGGGCCGAGCCCCGCGUCCCAGUCGAGCGCAGCAGGCCCGUCGUCCCACCGCAGGAUAAGGGCAACAGCAGAGCCAGCGUACUUGCCCCCUGUCGUCUCUGGUUCCAGAAAGACAAGCUGUGGCACUUCCUUUUUUCACAACCUUCUUCAUUACCCGAGUCUCUCUUCCUGCUGCUUAAGGGCUCUUCAAGUUUAAGAAGAAAGUUCUUCCUGCAGACCAGCUGGAUGAGGGACCUCCAAACUUGGCCUCCUGGGAUGGAGAGGGACAUUUUUGCUAGCAGGCCUAUUGGUAGGCCAGAUAUCCUGAGGUUCAUUGCGAGCCCUAGAAAUAAAUGACUGCAAGUGAAAGAUGCAGAUCUUCGUGAGGUGGCCAAGUUUAUUCGUUACUGCAUUAGCGGGCGCACGCCACCUUGUGGUACCUGUCUGGAAGAGAAGAACUACAUUCCCCAGGGGGCUUUGCAGUCAGAGAGGAGAUAUAACCUCUGGCAAAGUCACCUGAUGUCUCUUCUUCCUUCGGCUCUCCUCACUGUUGCUCGUCCUGACCUCACACAUUGCCUCAGCACUACUGUAAGGCCUAUAGCUUUCAGAAUCUCUCUCAUUACAUUUGAUCUAUUAGCUUCAAUUCUAAAUAUAUUGUAUAAUAGUGUGUUAUCUUGCAUUCUGAUACCAUAUUUAGUAAAUUAGUUUGUUUCUCCUCAGAUCGUUGCCGCUGUUUUAAUUAUUAAUAUAUAUUAAUAUAUAUUAAUUAUUAAUAUAUAUUAAUUUAAUAUAAUUAAUUUUAAUUAUUAAUUAUAUACGAGGGAGUUUGGGCUGCUUCCAAAGUCAUUGGCACUGAAAUGCAGAUCCUUCCGGCACCUCGACUGCCAGUGCUGAACUGGAUGUUUAAAGGAAAGGUUCCCUCCACCCAUCAUGCUACUGAUGCUACCUGGGGCAAGUGGAUUGUGUUGAUUAUGCAAGGAGCUCGGAUGGGGAACCUCAUCCAUCCAGGAAUCCUAGAGGUGAUCAUGGACUGGCCUGAAGGUAAAAAGUUUGGAGUGUCACCAGCAGAAGAGGUAUCACAAGCUAAAGAGGCCCCACUGUACAAUGAACUACCAGAAAAUGAAAAGAAAUAUGCCCUGCUCACAGACGGAUCGUGUCGUACUGCGGGGAAGCAUCGCAAAUGGAAAGCUGAUGUGUGGAGCCCCACAUGACAAGUUGAAGAGGCCACUGAAGGAAAAGGAGAAUCAAGCCAAUUUGCGGAGGUAAAAGCUGUCCAGCUGGCCUUAGAUGUUGCUAAAUGGGAGAGGUGGCCAAUGCUUUGUCUUUAUACUGACUCAUGGAUGGUGGCAAAUGCCUUAUGGGGGUGGUUACAGCAGUAGGAACAAAACAACUGACUAAGAAGGGGUAAACCUAUUUGGGCUCCUGAGCUGUUGGAAAGAAAUUGCUGCCCAAAUAAAAAAUAUGGUUGUAAAAGUGUGUCACGUAGAUGCUCAUGUACCCAAGAGGCGGGCUAUUGAAGAGCAACAGAACAACCAUCAGGUAGAUCGAGCUGCCAAAAUUAAGGUGGCUCAGACAGACUUGGACUGGCAACAAAAGGGUGAAUUAUUUCUAGCUCAGUGGGCCCAUGAGACCUCGGGCCAUCAAGGAAGAGAUGCAACAUAUAAGUGGGCUAGAGACUGAGGGGUGGACUUAACUAUGUACGCUAUAGCACAAGUUAUUCAUGACUGUGAAAUGUGCCAUUAUUAAACAAGGCGAGAGGACGAAAACUCUCUGGGAGGAACAGCAAUGGCCUACUGCCCCUCUGUCACGGGCAUAGAUUUAUCUACAUUGAUCUAGAUAACUCCGUGACAGGGGUGUGAGGCAUUAAGAAUCCCCUGCUGAUAUACAGUGUUGGACUACAGAAAGACAAAAGAAUACAGUGGAGUUAGUAUACUGUUUCUGUAUCACAGCAUCACCUUUGGUAGUUCUAUUGCUGGAACUGUGAUGGCCUAGAACAAUAUAUUUACCUAGUGGGACUGAAGGACUUCUCCCCCACCCUUCCAUUGAGACUGUCAAAACACUGGUCCUUGGGAGAUUUGGUAAUACUAUGGAGCUGCACAUCUUACUCCCUGCAAGGGACUGACUGCCAGGCGGAGUUUGAGGCGGAUAUCUGUGGCCUGGGCCAGGAAUAGAUCCUACAGGAGAUGAUGUGUGCCUGAGCUUGCUUCUACCCGUUGUUCAUGGCAAUUUUGAGGACAGUAGGCCACUCCUGUGAAGGUGAUUUCAGAAACACGUGCUCACUUUUCUACUACUAAAUGUGGGGGCUAUUAAAAGAUUAUUAUUAUUAUUAUUUUAAUUAGGGCCUUUCAGAGAGGUAUCAUGGACAGCCUAGAUGCAUUUUGGUCUUGUGCCACCAUGGGUCAGAAAAGAAUCUGUAUUUUCAAGGACUAAAAAAGGCCACUGAUAUUAAGGAUCAAAACUGCCUAAGAGUCGGGUUAGAGCAACUCCUGUGGAAGUCUGCAAUCAGCACUGUGCUCUCAAGGUAGGUCCUAUCAAGCUGUGUUAUGCUGGCCAGUACUGCGCAGAUUCUUAGGAUAAGAAUAACAUAUACUUUGGCCUGAUUUGCUAGGUGAGUGGUGGAAGAGGCAAAGCCCAAGGGAGAAUGGUUUCUCUUCUUGUUGUCAAAAAUUUGCUUAUAGGAUUUGCUUCCUGUCCCCAACAAUCCCUCUUAAGGACAGCUUCCUUAGACUAGGGCUGAUUCCCUGUCCACAGACAGAGCAAGCAUCUAGUUGCAGCCCCACACACCUCGUUGAUUGUGAGAGGUAGAUUGAGGUUUUGCAGUAGAAAAAACUUCUAGCACUAAGGUAUAGGCCUUUACUAAACUUUCUUACAAAAUGGAUGCACGGGUUGUUGUUCACAAUGAGAUGUUGAGGCAGAGCUUAAUAUAAGCUAGAAUGAGUCUGCCAGUUAUUCUGUUUUUCAGAACAUUCUGACCAGGUGGGUAAACACUGAUACUACCUAUGGAGGAUAGGCAGGAUAGCAAGAGCCUAGUAUACACUGUGAAACUUGUGAUGCAAUUAAACAAGCCAAGAGGACGAAACCUCUCUGGGGGGAAGGGCAAUGGCAAAAGCGUAAAUAUGGAGAGGUGUGGCAGGUUGAUUAUAUCAUCUUGGCACAAUCUCGCAAUGGUAAGCUUUAUGUGCUUACCAUGGUGGAAGCAACCACUGGGUGUCUUGAAACAUAUGCAGUACCCGAUGCUUUGAAAAAUGAAAAACGACAGGUGAGUGAUAAACCUUAUAUGGAAACAUACCUUAGCAACUGUGUCUAGUAGGUUGUGCGUCUGAGAUGCUUAGCCAAUGAGCAACAGGAGAGAUGUCACAUACUUAGUAGAAAGGGUAUAAAAUAGUGUAAUUUCACUGAUUAAGCUCACAAUUUCUUCCUUACCACAAGGUGGCGUGCGCCCGCUAAUGCAGUAACGAAUAAACUUGGCCACCUCACGAAGAUCUGCAUCUGAUCAGAAAUAAUUGAUUUUGAGUGUUUCUCACACUGCUGGCAUGAGGCAAUAUGACUCUUGUGCACCAAAAUGAACAAGCAGCUCUUGCCCUCUUCUGGGGCUAGAAUCUCAGAGGUUUUGUUUUUAAAAAGUUGAAACUAUAAGAAAAUGGUAGGUGUUGGCACUCUCACAGAAAGCCUUAAUAGUAACCCAGUGUAUCUGCAGGGCUCAUGAAGGACAAAUUUCCAAAGCCACUUCACCAACAUACAGGAACACGUGUAAAAGUAUAUUUGUGUUAACAUUACCUCUCCUGGCUGCAGGGAGGAGGCAACACCUUCCCAAUACAGGGCAGCGUGUUAUUAUAUACAGAAGCUGAGGGAGCACCUCAAGGAUACCUCUCAUGCAAGGACACUGGGGAGGAACAUUUUUCAGCUUUGUCCACCUCUGCAAAAGCCGAACUUAUGAAAAUGUAUGUGCUUAUGUCAUAAAUAACUGCCUUGUUAUGCAUAAUGAUAUGCACAACAAAACAGAACAAAACAAAAAAAAGCCAGGUGGCAGGGAGAAUUUCUGUAGCUUUAAGUACCUGAUACUACAGCCAUUCAAGAUUCUCUUAAUUUAGGACAAGGAUGCUAGUGUGCAGUUUUCUAAUUAACUGGGAAUCAUCUAUAUACGUGCAUGAGACAGAUUAAUUUGUUUGUGGGAUGCAUUUUGUGUCUAUCCAACAGAGGCAAAGAAACUGAAGGGCUGGUCUGAGUCAUAAGCAGCACUGACCUAUACCACAGGAAACAAUACUUAGAUGGACAACAUCACAAGUGGAUCUUAGGUAGGAAGCAGCACUGCUGGGAGUAGCAGGAAUAUGCAGGAUGGGACUAAGGCAGCACAGGGGAAGGAGUCUGGAUGUCAUCCUCCUCCCCUGGCUGCACAUGCUAAGGUGCUGCAGCUGCCUGCCUGGGUGUAUGUGCAAUUCUUUCUGCACCCAGCUGCUACACAG